rnacentral:tRNA from 1 species
GUAUUUCCUGGCGCUGGGGAGCAAGCACGCCGCGUUCGAAGCGGCGGGGCUCAAUGAAGGACUCGCGCGCGCGUUCGAUUUCGCGCAGCAACACG